rnacentral:tRNA from 1 species
GGGCCUAUAGCUCAGUUGGUUAGAGCAACGGACUCAUAAUCCGUGGGUCGUAGGUUCAAGUCCUACUGGGCCCA